GCCGGCUUAGCUCAGCCUGGUAGAGCAUUGGCUUUGUAACCCAAAGGUCGGGGGUUCAAAUCCCUCAGCCGGCACCA
rnacentral:tRNA from 1 species